GGGGGGGGGGGGGGGGGGGCGUAGGGGGGGGAGGGCGGGGGGGGGGGGGAGGGGCGGGCGCCGGUGGCGGGAGCGGCGGGCGGGGGAGUAACACGGGGAUAAGCUACCUGUAAGGCGGGGGGAGCGUCGGGAAACUGGUGCGAGUACCGGAUAAUAUAUUGACCCGCCUGGUUCAAGAGUGACAGACGGUUGUGCGGGCCCUUACAGCAUGGUCCGCGCCGCAUGAGCUAGUUGAUCAGGUAACGGCUUACGCCGGCAACGAUGCGUACCCGACCUGAGAGGGUGAUCGGCCACACUGGAACUGAGACACGGUCCAGACUCCUACGGGAGGCAGCAGUAGGGAAUCUUCCGCAAUGGGCGAAAGCCUGACGGAGCAACGCCGCGUGAGUGAUGAAGGUCUUCGGAUCGUAAAACUCUGUUAUUAGGGAAGAACAAAUGUGUAAGUAACUAUGCACGUCUUGACGGUACCUAAUCAGAAAGCCACGGCUAGCUACGUG
rnacentral:rRNA from 1 species